UGGGGAAUUUUGGACAAUGGGCGAAAGCCUGAUCCAGCAAUGCCGCGUGUGUGAAGAAGGCCUUCGGGUUGUAAAGCACUUUUGUCCGGAAAGAAAUCCUUGGCUCUAAUACAGUCGGGGGAUGACGGUACCGGAAGAAUAAGCACCGGCUAACUACGUGCCAGCAGCCGCGGUAAUACGUAGGGUGCAAGCGUUAAUCGGAAUUACUGGGCGUAAAGCGUGCGCAGGCGGUUUGCUAAGACCGAUGUGAAAUCCCCGGGCUCAACCUGGGAACUGCAUUGGUGACUGGCAGGCUAGAGUAUGGCAGAGGGGGGUAGAAUUCCACGUGUAGCAGUGAAAUGCGUAGAGAUGUGGAGGAAUACCGAUGGCGAAGGCAGCCCCCUGGGCCAAUACUGACGCUCAUGCACGAAAGCGUGGGGGAGCAAAACAGGAUUAGAUACCCUGGUAGUCCACGCCCUAAACGAUGUCAACUAGUUGUUGGGGAUUCAUUUCCUUAGUAACGUAGCUAACGCGUGAAGUUGACCGCCUGGGGAGUACGGUCGCAAGAUUAAAACUCAAAGGAAUUGACGGGGU
rnacentral:rRNA from 1 species